GACGAACGCUGGCGGCGUGCCUAAUACAUGCAAGUCGACGUUAGUGGCGAACGAGUGAGGAACACGUGGGUGACCGGCGCAGAAGAAGGGGGUAAAACGUGGAAACAGGUGCUAAUACCGUAUAUGGAUGGAUGGAGCCGCGGGGGUAUAGCUAGUCGGUGAGGUAACGGCCCACCAGGGCCACGAUGCAUAGUCGACCUGCGAGGGGGAUCGGCCACAUUGGGACUGAGACACGGCCCAAACUCCUACGGGAGGCAGCAGUAGGGAAUAUUGGGCAAUGGACGAAAGUCUGACCCAGCAACGCCGCGUGUGUGAAGAAGGCUUUCGGAUCGUAAAACUCUGUUGUUAGAGAAGCGGUAUCUAACCAGAAAGCCACGGCUAACUACGUGCCAGCCGCCGCGGUAAUUC
rnacentral:rRNA from 1 species